AGAAUGAACGCUGGCGGCGUGCUUUACACAUGCAAGUCGAGCGAGGCGUGUAGCAAUACACGGUCGAGCGGCGAACGGGUGAGUAACACGUGGAUUAUCUACCCUAAGGUGGGGAACAACCCGGGGAAACUCGGGCUGAUACCGCAUGAUACCGAAAGGUCAAAGGGGGCUCGCAAGGGCUUCCGCCAUAGGAGGAGUCUGCGUCCGAUUAGCUAGUUGGUAGGGUAAUGGCCUACCAAGGCGACGAUCGGUAGCCGGCCUGAGAGGGUGAUCGGCCACACUGGAACUGAGACACGGUCCAGACUCCUACGGGAGGCAGCAGUGGGAAUUUGCGCAAUGGGCGAAAGCCUGACGCAGCAACGCCGCGUGGAGGAUGAAGGUCCUUGGAUUGUAAACUCCUGUCAGCAGGAAAAAGCAACUCGGUCUAAUACAACCGGGAGUUGAUUGUACCUGCAGAGGAAGCCCGGCUAACUCUGUGCCAGCAGCCGCGGUAA
rnacentral:rRNA from 1 species